rnacentral:rRNA from 1 species
GCUAAAAAUCUAGCCCUAUCCCAUUUUAUGAGACCCCUAUUCUCACCCUAUAUAAACUAAAACAUUUAUUUAGUUAGUAAAGGAGAUUGAAAAACUAAUUAGAGCUAUAACGAUAGUACCGCAAGGGAAAAGAUGAAAUAAAAUUGAAACAAAAUUAAAGCACUAAAAAGCAGCGCUACACUCUCGUACCUUUUGUAUCAUGGUUUAACUAGUUUAAUCAAGCAAAAAGCACUCCGGUUUGACUCCCCGAAACUAGACGAGCUACUUCGAGGCAGCUUAAUGAGCACACCCGUCUCUGUUGCAAAAGAGUGGGAAGACCCCUAAGUAGCGGUGACAGACCUAACGAGUCUAGUGAUAGCUGGUUUCUUAAGAAAAGGAUUUUAGUCCCAUCUAAAGCAUACUUAAUCUCUUAAAAUGCCCCCCCCCCGCUUUAGUUCCACUCAAAUGAGGUACAGCCCAUUUGAAAUAAGGAAACAACCUAUCCUAAAGGGUAAUUUAUUAAACCAACCGAUAAACAAGUGGGCCUAAAAGCAGCCACCUUUAAAAUAGCGUCAAAGCUUAUCUAUCACCCCCCCCCCCCCAAUUCCAUAAUAUUUCCUGAGCCCUUUACUCAUAUUAAGUUAUUCUAUACUACUAUAGAAGCCACUAUGUUAAAACUAGUAAUAAGAGGCAGUGCCUCUCUUAAAUGUAAGCAUAAAUCAGAAAGGACCCGCCACUGAUAAUCAACGUCCUUGACUACAAAACAGCAACUUCUCUAGAAAACCCUGCUAUUACUGACGUUAACCUGACACUAGCACAUUUCAAGAAAGAUUAAAAGAAAAAGAAGGAACUCGGCAAACAUUAACCUCGCCUGUUUACCAAAAACAUCGCCUCUUGCACAAUAUAAGAGGUCCAGCCUGCCCAGUGACUUAGUUCAACGGCCGCGGUAUCCUAACCGUGCGAAGGUAGCGUAAUCACUUGUUCUUUAAAUGAGGACUAGUAUGAAUGGCACCACGAGGGUUACACUGUCUCCUUUUUCCAAUCAAUAAAACUGAUCUUCCCGUGAAGAAGCGGGAAUUAUAAUAUUAGACGAGAAGACCCUAUGGAGCUUCAAACUAUAUAGCACUGACUUUUACACUUUACUCUUCAGAGUCCUACACUUAUUCUGCUCUUUUUGACUAUUAGUUUUGGGUUGGGGUGACCGCGGAGCAAAGAUUAACCUCCAUGAUGAACAAAACCGCUUUUGAACCAUAAGCCACAACUUUAAGCACCAAUAAAUUGACAUAAAUUGACCCAUUUUUGACCAACGAACCAAGUUACCCUAGGGAUAACAGCGCAAUCUACUUCAAGAGCCCCUAUCGACAAGUGGGUUUACGACCUCGAUGUUGGAUCAGGGUAUCCUAGUGGUGCAGCCGCUACUAAAGGUUCGUUUGCUCAACGAUUAAAACCCU